ensembl:lncRNA
CUCCACACACCAAACUCUACAAGGCAGAAGAGCUGAACAUCCGUGACUUCACAGGCUGUUUCUGCCACAUGACUCCCAGCUCAUGGCACUGGUGCUUCCUCCAUCAAGAGAGUGAACUUUCUGUUGGUACUCACGGGGCUUUCUCACCAAUAUCACAACUACUCGAAGGUCACCUCAGUAGAGCCUCCUCUGCCUCUCCCAAAUUAUAUCCCUUCUCUGUUCUUUCCCAGCAUCCAGAAUCUCUUCCAUGGGUCUGGGGAGAUGGCUUAGUAGGUCAUGUGCUUGUUUUGCCCCGACCCUCGUGUGAAAGCUGGAUGUAGAAGCAGUAUGUGUCUAUAGCUCUGGUUACAGAGCAGCUGUGUGUUGGGGGAAGGGAUACAGGGACAGCAGUAGUGGGUAUAGACACGGGAGAAUCCCAGGGGCUCUCUGGCCAAUCAAUAUAGCUUAAAUAGCUCUAGGUUCAGUAGAGACACUGUCUCCAAAAAGUAAAAUGAAGAGCAAUGGAGGAAGACGAUGGCUUCUACAUAUGCAAACAAGUGAGCACACCAACACGGAACUCAUCCCGGAAAAGAAAAUCUUUGGAUACCAUCAAAAUUGAUCAAGAUUCGAGUUGAAAAAGACAACCCUCUCGACAAGGACGACUGACAGGUAUUUACUGAGGUAUAUCUCAUGAACUAAAUAAAAGCCUCCCAAAGGAAUGGGGAGUGCUUUGUUUUUAUCCUCACAGGAAAAACCACCUCCGGAAGUCAAAGGACACUGCAUGGGUAGAUACUUUAAGGAAAGAAGGUAGCUAUAACCAUCAAACAAAAGGAACACGCCAUACGGUAAACUUUACAGCUGUCUCUCAAAUAACUUUAUUUCUCUUCAUUUCCUAGUCCCUAUUCAAUUAAAUCGAUGCUGGAUUUAGAGUUGGACUUGGCUUUCCUCCCCUAAAAUCCAAGCAUGCUAUUUAACAAAAUUUUAAAGUUUCUGUGUUAUGUCAAGAAGCCAAUUGAUGUAAUACAGAAUAAAUGAAGAACUGGAGGACUAUCUUUUGUCUUUUCUUGGCUUUCUUUUAAGGCCUACACCCUCUCAUAAUUGUUGUUUUUCAAUGGUUGCCUUUCCCAGUACACAUACAUGUGCAAGCAAACAUUUCUCUGAUGACACUUAUGUUUGAGUCCCAUACAGCCAAUGAGGACCAGCCUGACAACAAUCCCUACAUGCUCCGGAAAAAGAAGAGGACCAUACCUCCCCAACGGCACUGGAUUCAACUCACUCCAUUUCAACUGACACUCCGACCAGCGCUUCAAGUACUGACUUCAAUCAAGUUGAGGAUUUCAACCUUGAUCUUCAAACAAGCAAAUCCCAUCUAACAUGGACUGGAGAUAACCCAAUAGAGACUUUCCCUGUGCUAACAUUUUUUCCACAGGACCCCACAAGGCUACCAUCGUCCCAUUUCAGCAGGAAGUAACUUAGAAGAUGCUAUGCCCCCAUUCCCCAUUAUUGUUUAUUAGGGUAUUGUAAGGCUAUUUAGGAAUAACUUUCUUAUUGUUUAGAGUUGGGAUUGGAAGGAGGUGUUCAAGUUAGACACCCUUUCCACAUGACUUUAGGGCUUAGAUGGAAUAGAUAGUUAGGAUGUGCAAUAGCAGAUUAUUCUAUCUUCUUAUACUUCACCUUUAUGAUUGUUAAUUUUGGAUAUUUUACACUAUUAAGUUUUAAUCCUCUUUUAGACUAAAAGGGGAAUUGUAGGGAGAUACUGUAGCCCCGCCUCCUAGUAGCCUGGACAGGUGUGCCUGGACACGCCCAUGAGGGCGUGGUGAGGGGAAGUCUAAGGUGACUCUCGGGAAUGGUUCUUAAGGGACCAUGCACACGUGGAGACCCUCUUCUCCCUUCUCCCUUCUCUCUGGCCUGGCUGCCUUGCUGCCUCAGGCCCGCUUUGGCUUGCGCUUGGCUGGUGUUAUCUGAAUAAAGAAACCUUAG